UACGUAUGGGGCGAGCGUUGUCCGGAAUUACUGGGCGUAAAGCGCACGCAGGCGGUCAAUUAAGUCAGAUGUGAAAGCCCCGAGCUUAACUUGGGAAUUGCAUCUGAAACUGGUUGGCUAGAGUCUUGUAGAGGGGGGUAGAAUUCCAUGUGUAGCGGUGAAAUGCGUAGAGAUGUGGAGGAAUACCGGUGGCGAAGGCGACUUUCUGGCCAUAAACUGAAGCUGAGGUACGAAAGAGUGGGUAGCAAACAGG
rnacentral:rRNA from 1 species